AGUCUUCGCGUUUCGAAAAUUGAUGACCAUUCGUUUUACGGGCAUUAGAUGCACAAUAAUAAAAAACUCACUUUUACUCAGUAUCAUCGUUGGAAAGCAAUUUUUCCCACAUGCAAUGCGACUGCUACGCUGCCCGCUGCAAUUAUGAGGUACAUUACAAAUUAAUGACAGACACGGUAUUCCUAUUGUCACUUUUCUUCGAACUUGCGAGAUAUUUGAUGGCUUACACGAAACAAAAGUUGUGUGCUUUGUCCCUUCAACUUCAAACUUCAGAUUCAACGAGUUUUUGGGAAACUCCAACUCCGCAAGAUGCAGAUAGAUGCCCAAAACUAACCAUUAAACCUCAAAAUCCUAAAAAAAGGCAUGAGAUUGGGUGCUGUAGAUGUGUGCCGAAGAAACCAUAAUAGAGCAAGAUACAAUCAGCAUCGCACUUUUGAGGGUUGCUACUCAGAAUUUCAAGCCAGCAUUACGAGUGGGACUGGAAUAAAAGUGGGAUCAACAAUUCAUCUUAGAAGGUAAGAGCUGAUUUACGAUAGUUUCGCUGCCAAGGGUACACAAGUCAUUCUAAUAACCUCAACGGCAACAAAGUUCAACACAAUUCUAAUAAUCAGUAGAUUGUGGUGAGCACUAAGAAUGAAAGUUCAGACAGGAAAGGGCAAAGGAUCAAAACUAUAGGCAGUGUAUACUUAUGUAGCUACAUCUCUCGCUGAAGGGCGAACCAACGUUGCCCCAACAACAUGAGUUGCCCCUGGGUAGGUACAUUAGGUGAACGAUGAAAAAUUAAUUUGGAUAGAUAAAUAGGUGGUCCAGACAGACUUUUAGGGGUUAAUUGUGACGAAUAAGUAAAAAGAUCAAAAUAACAAGGGGUGAGCCGAAAGAAAUUUAGGCUUCCCCCUGUUAACCCCUAAAAAUGGUCACGCGACUUCGGAUAUUGCACCGACGCAAAAUGGUACCAAAUUACAUUAAGCAAAAGUAGCAAAUCUCUUACCUUCGAUAAAUAAAUAAUAAAGUGCACUUUUCACUAAUAGUUCACAGUUUUAAGUGAUUUACCGGCAUGAGAAGUGGGGACAAAUACACUCGAGGGAGAGACGGAAAAGUAAUGGCGGCGAAAUGCGUGUGACGUCAUGCGCGUCCUCUCUAAGGUCACGGACCGGAACGGCAAUGAACCGGAACCGGAAACACUUGAAGGAGGGAAUUUCAAUUUGUCGGGCGCUACCACCCGUGAGCGUCAAGUAAUGUGUAUAUGAACUUGUGAAGAGGCACUGCAUAACUUACACAAUAUGUAAUUAAAAUUAUUACUUUAUUCAAUGUCUUAAGGAAAAUGACAUACUUGCGGUGAAACUCCCAAACCACUCAUCUCGUUUGCAGUGUUUAAAAAUCUCCGUCCUUAUUUUACGUUUUUAAAGGAGAACAAAUCAACACCAUUCUUCUAAAUUCUUCAAAAAUUUGCUUCGUCGUACAGAGAAGAAAAAUCACGAAAGUUUUUAAGGGUCGAAAUUGACUGAUUCUCCAUUUAGCAAAUAGAAUAUGACAAGAAGUCUGCAACAUAGCAAA
rnacentral:lncRNA from 1 species